rnacentral:rRNA from 1 species
AUACGUAAGCACCUGCAUGCAAUUAUGGGAGUAGCUCUUGAAUCGUGCGUUAAACCAGAGUAGAUAACGGAGAAGCAUCCCGUAUGUUAUGAGAAGAUCAUAACGUUAGCAGAUGGUGUUUCGGUGAAAUAAUAAUAUAUUUCGAGGUAUACGAAAUGACAAGACGAUUAAUGCAUAUCCCGGCUUAAGAGGGUGCAACGGCCACAUUGGGAAAUGAAACCAGGCCCCAAAUUCUUACGGGAGGCAAGCAGUUGGGGAAUUUUUGGCAAUGGGCGCAAGCCUGACCGAGCAACGCCGCGUGAGUGAUGAAGUAUUUCGGAUUGUAAAGUUCUGUUAUAAGGGAAGCUCAGUGGGGAUAGACUCCCGAUUACAUGGUACAUUACCACAAACUCACGGCGAACCACCAGCCAGCAUCAUAGGUAAUAAGUAGGUGGCGAUUUUAAUCCGUAAUUAAAGGGCGUAAAGGGUGCGCUGGCAGCUUGUUAAGUUUAAGGUUAAAGUCUGGGGCUUAACUCCAUAAAGCCUUAGAUACUGGCAGGCUGGAGUGGUAAAGAGGAAUGUGGAAUUCCAGGUGUAGCGGUAAAAUGGGUGGAUGUAUGGAGGAGCACCAGGGGCGAAGGCGGCUUUCUAGACAGGAUGAGACGAUCAGGCACGAAAGCGUGGGGAGCAAAUAGGAUUAGAUACCCUAGUAGUACACGCUGUAAACGAUGAAUGGUAAGUGUUGGGGUAUCUCAGUGAUGCAGUUCACUCAAUAAACAUUCCGCGGGGGGAGUAUGCACGAAAGUGAAAAACAAAAAAGAAUGGGGGGGGCCCCGCACAAGCGGUGGAGUAUGUUUUUUUAUUAGGCGCAGCGAGAAGCCCCUUACCAGGCCUUGACCUCCCU